rnacentral:ncRNA from 1 species
UAUGGUCCGCCGCGUGCGGGAAAAGGGAACCGUGUGAGAAUCACGGGCUGACGCGCAACUGUAAGCCUCAAGGUAAUGGUUACUGUUUACGGUUUACUGUUUACCAGGUUGCCGCAUGAUGCCAUUGGGUCCGCGAGGGCCUGAGAAGGCGUGGCCGCCGGAGGCAAGCCAGGAGACCUGCCAUAGUCU